UAGUGAGUUUGAUCCUGGCUCAGAUUGAACGCUGGCGGCAUGCUUUACACAUGCAAGUCGAACGGUAACAGGCCGCAAGGUGCUGACGAGUGGCGAACGGGUGAGUAAUGCAUCGGAACGUGCCCAGUCGUGGGGAUAACGCAGCGAAAGCUGUGCUAAUACCGCAUACGAUCUAUGGAUGAAAGCGGGGGACCUAAGGCCUCGUGCGAUUGGAGCGGCCGAUGUCAGGAUUAGGUAGUUGGUGGGGUAACUGGCCUACCGAAGCCGACGAUCC
rnacentral:rRNA from 1 species